rnacentral:rRNA from 1 species
GUCUACGGCCAUGACACCCUGAAUGUGCCCGUCUUGUCUGACCUCAGAAACUAAGCAGGGUCAGACCUGGUUAGUACUUGGAUGGGAGACCACCUAGGAAUACCAGCUGCCGUAGGUG